AUUGAACGCUGGCGGCAGGCCUAACACAUGCAAGUCGAGCGGAUGAAGGGAGCUUGCUCCUGGAUUCAGCGGCGGACGGGUGAGUAAUGCCUAGGAAUCUGCCUGGUAGUGGGGGAUAACGUCCGGAAACGGGCGCUAAUACCGCAUACGUCCUGAGGGAGAAAGUGGGGGAUCUUCGGACCUCACGCUAUCAGAUGAGCCUAGGUCGGAUUAGCUAGUUGGUGGGGUAAAGGCCUACCAAGGCGGCGAUCCGUAACUGGUCUGAGAGGAUGAUCAGUCACACUGGAACUGAGACACGGUCCAGACUCCUACGGGAGGCAGCAGUGGGGAAUAUUGGACACUGGGCGAAAGCCUGAUCCAGCCAUGCCGCGUGUGUGAAGAAGGUCUUCGGAUUGUAAAGCACUUUAAGUUGGGAGGAAGGGCAGUAAGUUAAUACCUUGCUGUUUUGACGUUACCAACAGAAUAAGCACCGGCUAACUUCGUG
rnacentral:rRNA from 1 species